rnacentral:tRNA from 2 species
GCAGGGAUGGUGUAACGGCAACACCGCGCUCUCCAAAAGCGUUGUUCUGGGUUCAAAUCCUAGUCCCUGCG